rnacentral:rRNA from 1 species
UACGGGGGGUGCAAGCGUUGCUCGGAAUUAUUGGGCGUAAAGGGCAGGUAGGUGGUCUCGUUUGUCUGAGGUGAAAGCCUUGAGCUUAACUCAAGAAGUGCCUUAGAAACGGCGAGACUAGAGUACUGGAGAGGGUCGUGGAAUUCCCGGUGUAGCGGUGAAAUGCGUAGAGAUCGGGAGGAACACCAGCGGCGAAGGCGGCGACCUGGACAGUUACUGACACUCAACUGCGAAAGCGUGGGGAGAAAACAGU